rnacentral:rRNA from 1 species
CACUCCUACGGGAGGCAGCAGUGGGGAAUAUUGGGCAAUGGGCGCAAGCCUGAUCCAGCCAUGCCGCGUGAGUGAUGAAGGCCCUAGGGUUGUAAAGCUCUUUCACCGGUGAAGAUAAUGACGGUAACCGGAGAAGAAGCCCCGGCUAACUUCGUGCCAGCAGCCGCGGUAAUACGAAGGGGGCUAGCGUUGUUCGGAUUUACUGGGCGUAAAGCGCACGUAGGCGGACUAUUAAGUCAGGGGUGAAAUCCCGGGGCUCAACCCCGGAACUGCCUUUGAUACUGGUAGUCUUGAGUUCGAGAGAGGUGAGUGGAAUUCCGAGUGUAGAGGUGAAAUUCGUAGAUAUUCGGAGGAACACCAGUGGCGAAGGCGGCUCACUGGCUCGAUACUGACGCUGAGGUGCGAAAGCGUGGGGAGCAAACAGGAUUAGAUACCCUAGUAGUCCC